rnacentral:snoRNA from 1 species
CCUCUUUUAAAAGCACUCAGUGGGCCUUUUGCUAAUGACCCGCUGAGCUGUCAAGAAAGGGCAGAGUGAAAACACCGCUUUUGGGUGAAGUGGUAGCAUGUUGUGUUGUUUGCUUCAGUCGGUGGUGUGACAAGG